AGCGAACGCUGGCGGCAGGCCUAACACAUGCAAGUCGAACGAACCUUUCGGGGUUAGUGGCGGACGGGUGAGUAACACGUGGGAACGUGCCUUUAGGUUCGGAAUAACUCAGGGAAACUUGUGCUAAUACCGAAUGUGCCCUUCGGGGGAAAGAUUUAUCGCCUUUAGAGCGGCCCGCGUCUGAUUAGCUAGUUGGUUGAGGUAAUGGCUCACCAAGGCGACGAUCAGUAGCUGGUCUGAGAGGAUGAUCAGCCACAUUGGGACUGAGACACGGCCCAAACCCCUACGGGGGGCAGCAGGGGGGAAGCUUGCGCAAGGGGCAAAAGCCUGACGCAGCCAUGCCGCGGGAAUGAUGAAGGUUUUAGGAUUGUAAAAUUCUUUCCCCGGGGACGAUAAUGACGGUACCCGGAGAAGAAGCCCCGGCUAACUGCGG
rnacentral:rRNA from 1 species